UGAGAUCUUGAUAAACUCGCCUGUGAAUUUUUAAAACUAGGCGAGGAUAUAAAGAUCUUAUU
rnacentral:pre_miRNA from 1 species